CGCCAGCAUGGGAAGAGGCCGGCGGCUUGNACCGCGGCAACAAAAGGAAGGCAUGUUGGAGCGGGUGAG
rnacentral:misc_RNA from 1 species